rnacentral:rRNA from 1 species
UACAGAGGUCCCAAGCGUUGUUCGGAUUCAUUGGGCGUAAAGGGUGCGUAGGCGGCGCGGUAAGUCGGGUGUGAAAUCUCGGAGCUUACUCCGAAACUGCAUUCGAUACUGCCGUGCUUGAGGACUGGAGAGGAGACUGGAAUUUACGGUGUAAGCGGUGAAAUGCGUAGAUAAUCGUAAGGAAGACCAGUGGCGGAAGGCGGGGUCUCUGGACAGUUCCUGACGCUGAGGCACGAAGGCCAGGGAGCAAACGGGA